AUUGAACGCUGGCGGCAUGCUUUACACAUGCAAGUCGAACGGUAACAGGCCUUCGGGUGCUGACGAGUGGCGAACGGGUGAGUAAUGCAUCGGAACGUGCCCAGAGGGGGGGGAUAACGCAGCGAAAGCUGUGCUAAUACCGCAUGUGAUCUGAGGAUGAAAGCGGGGGACCAGGCAGCAAUGUUUGGCCUCGCGCCUUUGGAGCGGCCGAUGUCAGAUUAGGUAGUUGGUGGGGUAAAGGCCUACCAAGCCGACGAUCUGUAGAUGGUCUGAGAGGACGACCAGCCACACUGGGACUGAGACACGGCCCAGACUCCUACGGGAGGCAGCAGUGGGGAAUUUUGGACAAUGGGCGCAAGCCUGAUCCAGCAAUGCCGCGUGCGGGAAGAAGGCCUUCGGGUUGUAAACCGCUUUUGUACGGAACGAAAAGGCUCUGGCUAAUACCUGGGGCUGAUGACGGUACCGUAAGAAUAAGCACCGGCUAACUACGUG
rnacentral:rRNA from 1 species